rnacentral:rRNA from 1 species
GAUGAACGCUGGCGGCGUGCCUAAUACAUGCAAGUCGAGCGAACAGACGAGGAGCUUGCUCCUCCGACGUUAGCGGCGGACGGGUGAGUAACACGUGGAUAACCUACCUAUAAGACUGGGAUAACUUCGGGAAACCGGAGCUAAUACCGGAUAAUAUAUUGAACCGCAUGGUUCAAUAGUGAAAGACGGUUUUGCUGUCACUUAUAGAUGGAUCCGCGCCGCAUUAGCUAGUUGGUAAGGUAACGGCUUACCAAGGCAACGAUGCGUAGCCGACCUGAGAGGGUGAUCGGCCACACUGGAACUGAGCCACGGUCCAGACUCCUACGGGAGGCAGCAGUAGGGAAUCUUCCGCAAUGGGCGAAAGCCUGACGGAGCAACGCCGCGUGAGUGAUGAAGGUCUUCGGAUCGUAAAACUCUGUUAUUAGGGAAGAACAAAUGUGUAAGUAACUAUGCACGUCUUGACGGUACCUAAUCAGAAAGCCACGGCUAACUACGUG